UAGCCUUUUACAUCUCCACAGAGUUUA
rnacentral:piRNA from 1 species